GUACUCCCUUUGGCAGCACGUCCAGUAAAAUUGGAAUGAUACAGAGGAGGUUCGCAUGGGCCCUGUGCGAGGAUGACAUGUAAGUUGAGGGGGAGGAUUAAAUAAAA
rnacentral:snRNA from 1 species